GUUUUUCACUGUUGGCAGAAGGCACGGCUUCUCUCUUUGCUAGCCUUCCUCUCUUGAGGCGUGUUCGAUCUGAAAGUGGCCGUGUUCGUGUUCCUUCUACCCAUUUAUAUAUGGCCCGAAUCUCUAAUCUUCCGCAGAGAGCCGAGUGCCAGACAGCGUCUCCUUUCUUUUUUCAAACGCAAAGACAUAAAACUUUUGAAAAAGCUACCAGAUAAGUUUGGGAUAGGAGACGAUGGUCUACCUGAGAGACAAAAUGUACUACACCAUUGUUUUGGAAAGAAAACAUCUGCCCUAAGCCUAAGCCCGAGCCUGAGCCUGAGCCUGAGCCUGAGCCUAAUCUUAUUGUCAUGUUUAAAGAUACUCGUGAUAGACGUGCAUUUUUUGUUGCAUUUUCCUCUAGAGAUAGAUGGCACCAUCUCACCCAAAUAUUACUUAUAUCUUCCCUCUAUUCUAGCAAAAGAUUAUCAUUUCACUUGGUGUAUCUGUAAUGGUCUACUUCAUCUUAGUGAUGGCAAGUUGGGUCAGGCUCUUUGGAACCCGGCAACAAAUGAGUAUAAGAUCCUCUGUGGAACCUCACCUUGAAUGUUUUAUUGAAAGGUAUGAAAUGGUGUUUGACCAUAGAUCCCAAGAUUACAAACUGCUGCAAUUUGUAAAAACUGGUGGUCAAGGUGAUAGACUUAACGCAAGUUGUCAGAUUCACUUGUACUUACUCAAAACUAAUUCCUGGAAGUGAAUACCAUUACCUUCCACUGGUGAGUUUGAGUUUGAUAUUAUCGAUGGAGGAAGGGCUUCUGCUUGCAUAAAUGGGGUUUGUUAUUGUUUAGCAUAUCCAAAAGUGGCUCCUUGGUCCAAUGUUAUCCUUGCUUUCGACUUUACUACUGAAACUUUUUCCACUCUACCCGCACCUGAAUCUGGCUUGGACCCUUUAUUAGACUAUAAAGGGUUGUUAUGUACUUAUAAACUCUGGGAGGAUGAAGACGCUCAUUCAGUUCCUAGUAUUCGUGACUAUGAAUUUUGGAUCAUGAGGGAUGGAUCAUGGACAAGAGAAUCUAUUUUCCAUACAUUGUGGAGCUGUUUCAACUUUCGCAGGAUGGUAAUUUAGUGCAUUUUUGAAGCAGCAUGCCAAAGGAGAUUGUUGUGUUUAAUCGUACCACUAGAAAGUUGAAGUAAGUCUCUUGACGUCUAUUGCCCUAGUUAUAUGUUUCCGUUUGUUGAGAGCUUUGUUCAACUCAAUGGAGUUGCAUGUAUCGACUUGCUUGAUGAGAAGCAUACAUGGAUUGACAACCUUAGCUUACUCGAAAGGGAGUUGUGACGGAAGCGGACAAGAGAGCAAGCAAUGGGAGGAUACGCUGCCGGACUCGGCUUUGUAAUUCGGUUUUCUGCAAUGGGGA